rnacentral:rRNA from 1 species
CAGGCCUAACACAUGCAAGUCGAGCGGAAACGAGUUAUCUGAACCUUCGGGGAACGAUAACGGCGUCGAGCGGCGGACGGGUGAGUAAUGCCUAGGAAAUUGCCCUGAUGUGGGGGAUAACCAUUGGGAACGAUGGCUAAUACCGCAUAAUGCCUACGGGCCAAAGAGGGGGACCUUCGGGCCUCUCGCGUCAGGAUAUGCCUAGGUGAGAUUAGCUAGUUGGUGAGGUAAGGGCUCACCAAGGCGACGAUCCCUAGCUGGUCUGAGAGGAUGAUCAGCCACACUGGAACUGAGACACGGUCCAGACUCCUACGGGAGGCAGCAGUGGGGAAUAUUGCACAAUGGGCGCAAGCCUGAUGCAGCCAUGCCGCGUGUGUGAAGAAGGCCUUCGGGUUGUAAAGCACUUUCAGUCGUGAGGAAGGUAGUAUCGUUAAUAGCGGUAUUGUUUGACGUUAGCGACAGAAGAAGCACCGGCUAACUCCGUGCCAGCAGCCGCGGUAAUACGGAGGGUGCGAGCGUUAAUCGGAAUUACUGGGCGUAAAGCGCAUGCAGGUGGUUUGUUAAGUCAGAUGUGAAAGCCCGGGGCUCAACCUCGGAAUAGCAUUUGAAACUGGCAGACUAGAGUACUGUAGAGGGGGGUAGAAUUUCA